GUCACCCUUGGGGUUGACAGCGUCAACAGAUUCAGUACUGGUGCUUACGGAUCGCGUUAUAAGCCUAUGUGCCUUACAUUCAGACUACGAUACCCGAGACGAUACCUCGACACCAGCUCGUAGGAAAUGGUUCAGCGCCACUGCUUUGGUUCAUCAGAGUUAUAGCGAAAAUCGGUCAACGGACGCAUGUAGCAUUUUUGUUUCAGAUUUCAUCAGCAACCUCUGGAUCGCGGUUGAUGUUUAUUUACGGAGCUGGAGCUGCAUAAAUUAAAUAUGUUUACCCUUAUACUAAUAGAAAAAAAUGUAUCUGAGAGCUAUUUGAUUUUUUUUGCUGCCGUCGCAAGCAUAAUUGUCCUAUUUAUGUUGAUAUGGACUUCAUAUCAUAUCAAUAUGAGAUAGUUAUGCUUGUGGCCUUUAUUCAAAACAAAAUUUCUUCGUGAUGAGAAAUUUCAAU